rnacentral:rRNA from 1 species
UACAGAGGGGGCAAGCGUUGUUCGGAUUUACUGGGCGUAAAGGGCGCGUAGGCGGCCCGCUAAGUCGAACGUGAAAUCCCCGAGCUCAACUCGGGAACUGCGUCCGAUACUGGCGGGCUUGAAUCCGGGAGAGGGAUGCGGAAUUCCAGGUGUAGCGGUGAAAUGCGUAGAUAUCUGGAGGAACACCGGUGGCGAAGGCGGCAUCCUGGACCGGCAUUGACGCUGAGGCGCGAAAGCUAGGGGAGCAAACGGG